rnacentral:rRNA from 1 species
CCUACGGGUGGCAGCAGUGGGGAAUAUUGGGCAAUGGGCGCAAGCCUGACCCAGCAACGCCGCGUGAAGGAAGAAGGCUUUCGGGUUGUAAACUUCUUUUAAGAGGGAAGAGCAGAAGACGGUACCUCUUGAAUAAGACGCGGCUAACUACGUGCCAGCAGCCGCGGUAAUACGUAGGUGGCAAGCGUUGUCCGGAUUUACUGGGUGUAAAGGGCGUGCAGACGGGAAGACAAGUCAGAGGUGAAAUUCCGCGGCUCAACCGUGGAACUGCAGUUGAAACUGGUUUUCUUGAGUACCGGAGAGGUCAUCGGAAUGCCUGGUGUAGCGGUGAAAUGCGUAGAUAUAAGGAAGAACACCAGGGGCGAAGGCGGAUGACUGGACGGCAACUGACGGUGAGGCGCGAAAGCGUGGGGAGCAAACAGGAUUAGAUACCCGGGUAGUC